CCUACGGGGGACAGCAGUGAGGAAUAUUGGUCAAUGGGCGGGAGCCUGAACCAGCCAAGUCGCGUGAGGGAUGACGGCCCUAUGGGUUGUAAACCGCUUUUGCAGGGGAGCAAAGUGCCGCACGUGUGCGGUUUGGAGAGUACCCGGAGAAAAAGCAUCGGCUAACGCCGUGCCAGCAGCCGCGGAAAUACGGAGGAUGCGAGCGUUAUCCGGAUUUAUUGGGUUUAAGGGGUGCGUCGGCGGACGCUUAAGUCAGCGGUAAAAUUGCGGGGCUCAACCUCGUCGCGCCGUUGCAACUGGGUGCCUUGAUUGUGCGAGAAGUACGCGGAAUGCGUGGUGUAGCGGUGAAAUGCAUCGAUAUCACGCAGAACUCCGCUUGCGAAGGCAGCGUACCGGCGCCCAACUGACGCUGAAGCACGAAGGCGUGGGUAUCGAACAGGAUUAGAUACCCCAGUAGUC
rnacentral:rRNA from 1 species